GGAGAGAUGGUAGAGUGGUCGAUUACAACGGUCUUGAAAACCGUCGUGCUGCAAGGCACCGGGGGUUCGAAUCCCUCUCUCUCCG
rnacentral:tRNA from 1 species